UACGAAGGGGGCUAGCGUUGUUCGGAUUUACUGGGCGUAAAGCGCACGUAGGCGGAUCGUUAAGUCGGGGGUGAAAUCCUGGAGCUCAACUCCAGACCUGCAUUCGAUACUGGCGAUCUUGAGUCCGGAAGAGGUGAGUGGAACUCCUAGUGUAGAGGUGGAAUUCGUAGAUAUUAGGAAGAACACCAGUGGCGAAGGCGGCUCACUGGUCCGGUACUGACGCUGAGGUGCGAAAGCGUGGGGAGCAAACAGG
rnacentral:rRNA from 1 species